rnacentral:lncRNA from 1 species
CUCUGAGAAAGAGGGGAGUGAUGACAGUUGGCAUACUUCUGAGGAAGAAGAACUCGAUUUUACCCCCAAGAAGCUACAGAAGCCCAACUUGACGCUACUAAUGAAUGCUUCCCAGCAGUUCAGGAAAAACAAUGAUAGUGAUGGUUCUAGAAUUGAAAAUCCUAAGUCACCGAGGAAAACCCUCAAACAAAGAACCCCAUCAGAUGCAAACCUGAAAAAAGGAGAAUGUAGAGAAUUGUUGAAUCAAGAUGUCUCAGAUGCAAGCAACCUGGAAGAAGAAGAAUUGGAGGAGGAGGAGGAGGAAGAUGAUGAAAAUGACAAUGGAGAUGAUGAUGAAGAUUAUGAGGAGGAAGAAGAAGAAGAAGAGGAGGACGAAGAUCUUUCUCAAGAUGAAAAAGAGGAGGAAGAUCUGGAAGAUGAAGAAACUCAAUCUAAUGACAUACUGGAGGAGGAGCAAGGGGGGAAAACAGAACCUAAAGGGGAAAUUGAUCAGAAAUUGGAGUAUUUUAGUAAUGCUAAGUAUGAAGGGGAAGCUCAGUGUGGAACUGGAGUUGUCUGGGAUGAUGAUGAUAAGAUUAGUAAAGAACUUAAUGAAAAGGUGGAGGAAUCUGUUGAUACUCCUGUGUCUUUUAUAGCUGGGUGUUAUGAAAGGUUGCAAGAAAAUAUAACUGCCAUGUCUCCAAAGAGAAUGAAUAAUGAAGUAUCUUACAAGUCAGUACCAAAACAAGCUGUCUUUCAGAAUCUAAAUAAUUUGCAAGACACACAAGAAAGCUGGAACAGGAAAAGCUUGAUUCAAGAGAAGUUGACCACAGAUAGUUGUGGUCUUAAGGAGAAAAAGUCAAGCUCUGGUGAUGGUUUUGAAAGUGGUAAUAAUUCUUUAUCAGCAGCAAAAACCCCAAGACUUGAAAAUCAAAGACCGAGCUUUGCCAGUCUUGAAUGUGUGGAUGAUGAAGAUACUGAAGAAGAGCAAGAUGAAGUAGAUGAUAAAGUCUGUGAAGCACUGAAACAGGAAAGUGUAAACUUGUGCUUAAAUAAGCGUGAAGAAAAUUUAAGAGCAGCGUUUCACUCAAGCACCAAAGUAAGUAUAUAGGGAUGAUUCAAUCACAAGGGUAUUUUUCUAAGGGCAAUAUAGGUAAGAAAUAGAUGGUAAACUGGAUUUCUGUUAAUACU